UGUGGAAUGCCGAAUUCGGGUUCCGCCUCAUGACUUUGCUGAAAUCUCAGGAGGUUUGCAUCAUGACU
rnacentral:sRNA from 1 species